UAUGGUUAGAACUGGCCAGAGUGCGCCCUGCAUCUGCGGGAGGGUCCCGGGGCCGUCUCGAAUUUGUUUUUUUUUUGUUUGUUUGUUUGUCUGUUGUUUUUUUUAGCCCUCUCUCUAAGGGCUAAGGAUUCCAUCGAGAUGACAUGAAAAGAGGAGCAAGUUGGGGAACCCUUGGUUUGGGCCUUUCCUAUUUGAAGAGUGAACGCUGCUGACCACAGAAAAGAGACUUCAAAAGCUUCAGAGGCAGACUAGGAGACAAGGAGACACACAGAUGAACGGCGGAAUGGCGCAGCAGAGAAAGAGAGAAGA